rnacentral:lncRNA from 1 species
CUUAGUUCAGCAUAACUUGUUCCCGAGACGCUAAAAAAACUAACAAUAUUUCCAUGGAAUGGUGUAGGCGUAGAUAUUUAUUGGACUGCAUUCUAAACGUUUAACCAUUGUGGAAGAGUGCGUCAAGAGAACCAUUGUGGAAGAGUGCGUCGAGGGAACAUUCGGAGAAAGGUACUGAUUAGCCGUUGCUUUGUCUGCCCGACGAUGGAAAACAAGUUCUUGAUUUUAUUGCUGACCAUCGCAGUUCAAUUUCUGUCAACCGAGGGCCGAACGUGUCACUUCUACGACUACUCGAAGUCAUGUUCUGGUUCAAACUGCCCUUUGAGCACGAUUCAGUGUAAAGACGAGCAGGACAAGUGCUUCUCGGUUUAUGGCUACGCAACUGAUGGAACUUUGAAGGCUUUCCAAAUAGGCUGCUGGAAACAAGAUGACGGUUGUUCACAGACAGCGUGCAUAUUUCGGAAAGUUGCGUCAAUACAUUUCUGCUGUUGCACUGGGGACCUGUGCAACU